rnacentral:rRNA from 1 species
UUGAUCCUGGAUCACGACGAACGCUGGCGGCGUGCCUAAUACAUGCGAGUCCAACGCUGAAGGGAGAGCUUGCUCUUCUGGAUGAGUUGCCAACGGGUGAGUAACGCGUAUGUAACCUGCCUGGUAGCGGGUGAUAACUAUUGGAAACGAUAGCUAAUACCGCAUAACAGUAAAUGUUGCAUGACAUUUGCUUAAAAGGUGCAAUUGCAUCACUACCAGAUGGACCUGCGUUGUAUUACCUAGUUGGUGGGGUAACGGCUCACCAAGGCGACGAUACACAGCCGACCUGAGAGGGUGAUCGGCCACACUGGGACUGAGACACCGCCCACACUCCUACGGGAGGCAGCAGUAGGGAAUCUUCGGCAAUGGACGGAAGUCUGACCGAGCAACGCCGCGUGAGUGAAGAAGGUUUUCGGAUCGUAAAGCUCUGUUGUAAGAGAAGAACGAGUGUGAGAGUGGAAAGUUCACACUGUGACGGUAUCUUACCAGAAAGGGACGGCUAACUACGUGCCAGCAGCCGCGGUAAUACGUAGGUCCCGAGCGUUGUCCGGUAUUUAUUGGGCGUAAAGCGAGCGCAGGCGGUUAGAUAACUCUGAAGUUAAAGGCUGUGGCUUAACCAUAGUACGCUUUGGAAACUGUUUAACUUGAGUGCAAGAGGGGAGAGUAGGAAUUCCAUGUGUAGCGGUGAAAAUGCGUAAAUAUAUGGAGAAACACCGGUGGCGAAAAGCGGCUCUCUGGCUUGUAACUGACGCUGAGGCUCGAAAGCGUGGGGAGGCAAACAGGAUUAGAUACCCUGGUAGUCCACGCCGUAAACGAUGAGUGCUAGGUGUUAGACCCUUUCCGGGGUUUAGUGCCGCAGCUAACGCAUUAAGCACUCCGCCUGGGGAGUACGACCGCAAGGUUGAAACUCAAAGGAAUUGACGGGGGCCCGCACAAGCGGUGGAGCAUGUGGUUUAAUUCGAAGCAACGCGAAGAACCUUACCAGGUCUUGACAUCCCUCUGACCGCUCUAGAGAUAGAGUUUUCUUUCGGGACAGAGGUGACAGGUGGUGCAUGGUUGUCGUCAGCUCGUGUCGUGAGAUGUUGGGUUAAGUCCCGCAACGAGCGCAACCCCUAUUGUUAGUUGCCAUCAUUUAGUUGGGCACCCUAGCGAGACUGCCGGUAAUAAACCGGAGGAAGGUGGGGAUGACGUCAAAUCAUCAUGCCCCUUAUGACCUGGGCUACACACGUGCUACAAUGGCUGGUACAACGAGUCGCAAGCCGGUGACGGCAAGCUAAUCUCUUAAAGCCAGUCUUAGUUCGGAUUGUAGGCUGCAACUCGCCUACAUGAAGUCGGAAUCGCUAGUAAUCGCGGAUCAGCACGCCGCGGUGAAUACGUUCCCGGGCGUUGUACACACCGCCCGUCACACCACGAGAGUUUGUAACACCCGAAGUCGGUGAGGUAACCGUAAGGAGCCAGCCGCCUAAGGUGGGAUAGAUGAUUGGGGUGAAGUC